rnacentral:lncRNA from 1 species
UGAUAUUGUACUGUAGUUUUACAAGAUGUUACCAUUUGGGGGAAAUGGGUAAAGGGUAGAGGGGAUCUCAGUAUUAUUUAUCUGCAUAUGAAUCUAUAAUUAUCUCCCAUUAAAAGUUUGAAUUAAAAACAGUACCCUCUGCAUUCCCAGUACUGCCUUGAUUCAGUCAGUGCUCAGCCUUUUCUCCAAGCUCAAAGCCAGACUGCUGGGAGCCAGAGCCAGGCUGCCCUCUCAGCAUUUCCUCCAUGCUCACAGUGAGGUCAAGGGCAGCCUGCUGGCACCAGGUCUAUCAGGAAAGAAUGACUCUUAAAAGACAGGAUUCAGGGAAGGAAGGAAGCGAGUCUGGUGUGGGAGCCUGGAGCUGCAGAUCCCCCAUCCCAAUCAUUUUCCAGUGCCCACCAGAAGGUCACUAGGUCCCUGGUGGCAUAAGAUGAUGUACCUCCUGGUCACCUGGCCUUGUCCCAAUAGCCAAAUGUAAAGUGAGGCCUUGGUUCCUUGGGUCAGUUUUUUUAGGAUGUGCAGAGUGGCAGAACUCUUCUGGAUUAUCAAUGUCUUUGUCAUCUAGCUGAAGCCACGUGCACAGCAAAGCCCCUCUUCCAAGGAAUAAAAAUUGCGGGGGUGACUUGGUUAUACACAGUUCUCUCCUUGGAGGAUGGAGCUGCAUGCGUCUACCCCUUUCUUCUCUGGACUUCAGGAGAGAAUCCCUCUGCCACCUCAGCCCCACCUCGGAGAGUUGCCCCUUGGCAGUCUGGAUGGCACAGGAUCCGUCACACUCCGGCACCCUCUGGCGCAGCGGGACAGCCCGGGCUGUGGAGUCCGAUAGUCCCAAGGGAGAGGCCCAGCUCUGCCAGCCUGUAGCCGCGUGACCUUGGGUGAGUCUCUUGGUCUCUCUGAACCUCAGUUUCCCCGUUUGUAAAACAAAUUAAAAGAGCCCCCUUCACGGGGUUAUUGAGAAGACAAAAUAACACAAUUCAUCUGAGAUUUUUGCAAACUGCUAUACAAUUGUAAAGCCUGUUUUAAUGAUUAUUGUUUUUCACUGGUUUCCUGGCAGUUUGAGGCUGAUCUCCAGCUUCUAGGCCUCAGAGAGGCAAAGUUGAGGGCACAGGCUUGAGAGAUGUCCCCAAAUGCUCCCCAUCACUCCACUAGCCAAAGUCACAGCUUACCCUCCCAGGCAGAAGCCCAAAUGUGAUGGAGGCUGCAAAUGAAAGCCAAGAAAUAGGGGCUUAUUUCAGUUGCAGAAACAAAGACACAGGGCAUUGUGCUCAAAACCUCAUUGAUUACCCCUCUUCAGGCUGGCCGGGAGCCUGGGAAGGGUUACUUGGUGCCAUCUCAGAAGUUUCGGGCUGUGGUUCCUCCCAGGGAGGCACACAGAAGCCAUGUGGAAC